rnacentral:rRNA from 1 species
UGCCAGCCGCCGCGGUAACACGGGGGGUGCAAGCGUUAUUCGGAAUUACUGGGCGUAAAGCGCGCGUAGGCGGAUUAGUCAGUCAGAGGUGAAAUCCCAGGGCUCAACCCUGGAACUGCCUUUGAUACUGCUAGUCUUGAGUUCGAGAGAGGUGAGUGGAAUUCCGAGUGUAGAGGUGAAAUUCGUAGAUAUUCGGAGGAACACCAGUGGCGAAGGCGGCUAACUGGCUCGGUACUGACGCUGAGAUGCGAAAGCGUGGGGAGCGAAGAGGAUUAGAUA